GUGGUCUUGAACGUUAUAGCACGGUGUCAUUAUGCAGGUAAUUCUAUCUUGUCGAUUAAUAGGUGAAUGAGUUAAGAAAGCAUUUGUCACAUGGAAACAAAAAAAACAAAAAAAUGACAAAAAUGCUCCAGCAAGAGUUGCACUUCUUCAACAUACAAACGUGCAACUUACGAAUAUAACCUGGGUACUAUUUAGGAUAAUUGUUUCAGGGGAAAUCAUAGUUUGCCAUUAUCCGAUCUAUUUGGUUGGCAAAACCUUGAUGGUACUUGGGUGCAAAUCUAGUCAGUGCUUGCAUAAACUGCUAAGUCAUAAAAGGAGCUUAUACAUUGUGGCUGUAAGAAAGGAUGUCGAGGGAAUUGUUAAAACUUGAAGCGGCAUAGCAUUUUAUAACUGUUUAUUAGACUGUGAGAAAGAAACUGUACUGGAAUGUGAGAAAUGAUGAUAAGUCUUCACUUAUCAUUUAUCUGUUAUUUUAACUAUUUAUAAUUUGAUUAUGAUCUACAACACUUGUUAUGACAAAUGGUUACUAUUGCGACACCAUUUGUUUUUUGGUCAC
rnacentral:lncRNA from 1 species